CAGCAUCUCCGACACGGCAACAACUGCUGUGCACUAUUUGUCACUAAAUCGCAAUCAUGAUCAAUUAUGGCGUUGUGCUGCUGUUGGUUGUUGUCCUCAAAUACUACACCACCAAGACUACAAUUUAUGCUGCCCGAGCUGCAUCACCAAAGAGCCCUAACCCAUCCCCAGCAACGUCAACCUGCAGAAGGAAAGGCCAGUUUGAAUGUCGUUCAC